CCCGCACAAGCGGUGGAGCACGUGGUUUAAUUCGAUGCAAACCGAAGAACCUUACCUGGGUUUGACAUGCAGAGAACUUUCCAGAGAUGGAUUGGUGCCUUCGGGAACUCUGACACAGGUGCUGCAUGGCUGUCGUCAGCUCGUGUCGUGAGAUGUUGGGUUAAGUCCCGUAACGAGCGCAACCCCUAUCAUUAGUUGCCAUCAGGUCAAGCUGGGGACUCUAAAGGAACUGCCUACGCAAGUAGUGAGGAAGGCGGGGAUGACGUCAAAUCAGCACGGCCCUUACGUCCAGGGCUACACACGUGCUACAAUGGCCGAUACAGAGGGCAGCUACCUGGUGACAGGAUGCAAAUCUCCAAAGUCGGUCUCAGUUCGGAUCGGAGUCUGCAACCCGACUCCGUGAAGUUGGAUUCGCUAGUAAUCGCGCAUCAGCCAUGGCGCGGUGAAUACGUUCCCGGGCCUU
rnacentral:rRNA from 1 species